GAUGUAUUUAUUUAUUCUAUAUAAGUAGCAGUCUUCAGACACACCAGAAGAAAGCAUCAGAUCCCAUUAGAGAUGGUUGCUGGGAUUUGAACUCUGGACCUCUGGAAGAGUAGUCAGUGCUCUUAACCACUGAGCCAUCUCUCCAGACCCUCUUUACUUCAUUUUAUGCGUUCUUAGUUUGUCCUGUGUGAGAGUUUUUGUCUGUGUAUAUGUAUUUCUUUUCGUGUGUGUGUGUGUGUGUGUGUACCAUAUGUUACAAGAGGCCAGAAGAGGUCGUUGAUCCCCUGGAAACAGAGAGACAGGUGGUUGAGAUCUCCCUAAUGUGGGCGCUGAGAACUGAACUCAGACCCUCUGCCAAAGCAGCCUUGAAGUGCUCCUAACCAGGGACCAAUCUCUCCAGCCACCCCUACCAAGGCCUUUACGUCAUUCAUUGCCACAGCUGUUUUGGUUGUAAUUAGUGAGAGCUAAGCAGUGUAACGGGGGAUAAAGCAGAGGCUUUGCAGUGAUCCCAGAGUCACUCGUAGUUCCGACCAGCAGGGCUCACCAGGCCUGGACCAAGGAAGCAGAACGCUGUGAGGAACUCGCUGAGUUGUCUCUCUGCUAUGCCCCAGGCUUGAUGUACCUUUGCUGAGCAUGUCUGCAGAGGGGGUCCUCAGCCACUAUAGAUACAAUGCUGGGGUGUGGGGGGCUCCUCAGCAGUGACUCCAGCAUCCGGCAUACGCAUAGCAACAGGAGCUCAUAGAGCAAAUAUACCACCCCAGAAUCACUUCUGUAUAAAUGUGUGGGGGAAGGGUGGCGGAUACAGCUUUGGGAGGUACGAGACAAGGUAGGCACUGAGGCAUGAAGGUAAGAAUACUUCAGGGAACAAGGGCUUUGUCAGUUUAAAGAACUCUCUUUUCGUGCAAGUAUAGCUAGUACACUGAGCAGUCUCCCAGCCCUCCCAUUUUCUCACAAGACUUUGCCAUGUGAUGGCUGUGUCCGCAUAUAAGAACAUUGUGGCCUUCACAUUUAAAACAGAUACUCUUGUAUCCCCAAUGUAGCCCCCUGAAAUAGCUCAAGGCUGAAGCUCCGUGGCUUUAGAGUCUUCCUUAUCCAAAAAUACCAUCUGGUGAGUCUGAGAAGUUAUCGGAGUAAGUACAAGGAUAAUAAUGAGAAAAAUAAAAAUAGAACUCUGGAAGUGGUCCAACGGCCAAGUCGUGCUCGGGAUGCAAUUAGGCAGUUGGAGCGGGGCAUCCAUUUACCCGAGCCACUGGGGCACCAUUGAAGAGAUCCUUACGCCAGUAAAUGAGGGUAAAUGAGCCUCUAGUGACUGGGAAACUUGAGGCUGUUUUCAAAAGUUCUGAUUUGCACCCAGGGAGUACCGGGAAGAAUCUGGGUGGAAUAAAUAACCAGAUAAAUAAUUCAAGAGCAGAGGCUGGGUCAAGAUGGAAGCCGGAAGUGAGAUAGCAGGUGCUGGCGGACGUGCGUUUCAAAGGGUGCUGAGGAGUGAAUCCAAAGCAUUUUACCGGCUCAGCGAGUGCUUUCCUACUGAGCUACGCUACCUCUAUGUGGCUGGAAAAGAACAGCUCUGUGUCCCAGUUGCAGGAGAGCCUGCUCACUUAUAGGGCUAACCUGUCCAUCAGGAAUUGUCUCCUGUGGCCUGAACGGCUUCCAAGUCACUGAGUAGCUGAGGACGACCUUGAACUUCUGGUCCUCGUGCGUCCACCUAAGAUCACAGACAGAGCCCGGCAUAACUGUAUCCUGAGAGGCUUCAAACGGCAGCAGAGGGAGGCAGAUGCAGAGACCCACAGCCAAACAGUAGGUUGGACACAGGGAGUCCUGUGGAAGAGUCCAGGAAUAGGGUUGAGUGAGGGAUCAAGGACACCAAGAGAAGAUCUGCAGGGUCAACUAACUUGGGCCCGUGGGGGCCCACAGAGACUGAACCACAGACCAAAGGGGAUAUAGGGGCUGGACCUAGGCCCCUGACACAUUUGUAGUAAAUGUGCAGCUUGGUCUUCUUCAUGUGGGUCCCCAAACAAAUGGAACACGGGGGCUGCCUUGGACUCUGUUGCCUGCCAUUGGAUUCCCUUCCCUACUUGGACUGCCUGGUUGGGCCUCAGCAGCAGAGGAUGUGCCUAGUCCUGCUGGAACUAGAUGUCCCAGGAUGGGAUGAAACCCAAGGGGGGCUUCCCCUUGUCCUCAGAGACAGGGAGAGAGUAAUGGGGGAGAGAUUUGUAAGGGCAGGACCGGGAGGAAGGGGAAGUCGUGAUUGGGACGUAAAAUGGAUAUAAAAAAAUAAAUUAUUGAAAACAA